ACUAGCUCUCUGAACCUGGCUCUUUAAGUCUGGCCAAACCGAGCAACCCAGUUCCUUUGGCAAACAUAGUUUGUUGGUGCCUGCUACUGAUUAUUUUUCCCAAGACAGAAAUGUUGGACACAGUCUCGCUCAGAAGUAUUCACCUGAUCUCGGUGUACUUCACUAACAAAAGGCUUUAAGGAGAUGAAGAAGCCUUUGGGAUGACUUGCUGUUGUGAAAGGAAGGAAACGCUACAAUUCGGCUUUUCUUCUGCAAGGUACAGAAUAGAGGAUGAGGCGCUCGUGGGUCUCCGGCACGACGUCACUCUGUGUGCUGGAAGAGAGCGAGGAAACCAGCUGGGCUCACAGUGGAGGGCGUUGUGGAGCUGCAGACGUGAUGACAGCAACAUCUGCCACAGCACCUUGACAGUGAUUUACCUGCCAACCACCACGAUGUUCACAGAAGCUGAGUUUCUCUGGCUCCUGGAGCCAGCACUGGAAUAUCCAGUAGUAUUAGAGGCAGCUCUGAGACUUUGGCUCCUAUCUAGAGCAGCUCUGGAGUCAGUCGAGCUGAACACAGAAGAAACUGGCACAUGAUAUCCAGUAUCUACUUCAGACUUAGUGAAGAGUCCUUUCAUAUAUAUCGAUCUGUAGAGAAAUGAGUAAGGAUGGUCUGGCUUUAAAAGGAAAAAGAAGAGAGUGAGAUAUUCAUGAAAUAUAGGCUCCACCAGUGAUGUACCUAAUAAAAGCUGAGGCCUGACUGAUCCA
rnacentral:lncRNA from 1 species